rnacentral:rRNA from 1 species
ACGCUCGACACCUACGGGAGCCAGCAGUAGGGAAUCUUCCACAAUGGACGCAAGUCUGAUGGAGCAACGCCGCGUGAGUGAAGAAGGUUUUCGGAUCGUAAAGCUCUGUUGUUGGUGAAGAAGGAUAGAGGUAGUAACUGGCCUUUAUUUGACGGUAAUCAACCAGAAAGUCACGGCUAACUACGUGCCUGCAGCCGCGGUAAUCUGAGCGGGCUGGCAAGGC